rnacentral:tRNA from 1 species
GAGGGUAUAGCUCAUUGGGUAGAGCAAGUGCUUAGCAUGCAUGAGGUCCUGGGUUCAAUCCCCACUACUUCCU